rnacentral:rRNA from 1 species
AAACCAACAGGGAUUACCUCAGUAACGGCGAGUGAAGCGGUAAAAGCUCAAAUUUGAAAUCUUCGGAAUUGUAAUUUGUAGGAUAGUCUAGUCUUCACAUCAAGUUCAUUGGAAAAUGACGCCUUAGAGGGUGAUAGCCCCGUAGUGAAAGACACUCACAGUCUAUCCCAAGAGUCGGGUUGUUUGGGAAUGCAGCUCUAAGUGGGUGGUAAAUUCCAUCUAAAGCUAAAUAUUGGCGAGAGACCGAUAGCGAACAAGUACAGUGAUGGAAAGAUGAAAAGCACUUUGAAAAGAGAGUGAAAUAGUACGUGAAAUUGUUGAAAGGGAAGGGCUUGCGGGGGGUGAGAGAGUUGGGAGAGGGACGAGGAAAAGCGGGAGGAAAAGUAGCUAGCAAUAGUAUUAUAGACCUUCCUCAUACUCAUUCUUCUCCCCAGGACAGCUAAUUCUACAGGACUCUCUCUUAACCGCCGCAAGUCGC